rnacentral:rRNA from 1 species
AACAGCUCAAAUUUGAAAUCUGGCGCAAGCCCGAGUUGUAAUUUGUAGAGGAUGCUUCUGGGCGGCGGCCGGUCUAAGUUCCUUGGAACAGGACGUCAUAGAGGGUGAGAAUCCCGUAUGCGACCGGUUGGCACCCGUCACGUAGCUCCUUCGACGAGUCGAGUUGUUUGGGAAUGCAGCUCUAAAUGGGAGGUAAAUGCCUUCUAAAGCUAAAUACCGGCCAGAGACCGAUAGCGCACAAGUAGAGUGAUCGAAAGAUGAAAAGCACUUUGGAAAGAGAGUUAAAAAGCACGUGAAAUUGUUGAAAGGGAAGCGCAUGCAACCAGACUUGUCGGCGGUGUUCCGCCGGUCUUCUGACCGGUCUACUCGCCGCCGACAGGCCAGCAUCAUCUGGGAGCGCCGGAUAAAGGUGUCGGGA